UUUUGUAUUCAUGAAGAGAACUUCUAUUAUUCCAUUCUUUAUUAUUCUGCUGGAAUAACCAGUAUACGCGGACUACCCUAUACUUGGUGACAUUCUUCUAUUAUUUCGUCUUUAUUAUUAUUCUGUUGGAAUAUCCUGUCUGUGCGUUUUACGCCGAACCUGGUUCCGUCUUUAUUAUUAUUCUGUUGGAAUAUCCUGUCUGUGCAUUUUAAGCCGGAC
rnacentral:lncRNA from 1 species